UGGGAAGGCAAGCACACAGGUAAUCAUAUGUCAAGCAAGCAGUGUAUUCCCAAGGCAGUAACUUCCCUCAGAACUGAAGCCAGGGUCACAGGCAUCAAGCUCCUGUCUGAGACCUUUCAAAUGCUGCAGAAGAUGCUUCCUGCCCAAGAAAAAUUAGCUCAUCUCUCAGGAGGGACCAGACUGCAAGUUGUAGCACACAAACUGGGGCUUCUUUCGAGGCAGCUGAUGAAGGGAAGAAAGCCUAUCUUCAGGAUAUCAGAUCUUUUAAAUAGGGGUUAGCACCUCUGUUUCAUGAUUUUCUAUCAGAGAGAGUCUGAGAUCUGCUCCUUUGGAAAAAUAAUUUCUUACUGACCAGAGCAAGACAGUAAGUUCAACUAACAAAAUGAAAGCAUGAAGCCUGCAACCUGACUGGUGUACACAAUUUCUCUUCUUCUACAAGGUUAAAUGCACAAAAUGCAUAAAACCUGGAAACUUUUGCCUCAAAACCUCUCCUUCAGGGAUCUGCAGCCAUCUGAGCAUCUGAGAGCCCAGGGAUGUUUUGUGGCAGCCCCUUGCUGGGACUGCCCAGGAACCAGGAGACAGUGGUGAGUUUACAGACAACUUACAUCAUGUAAACUCAUCAUCAAAGCCCAUAAGAGUAAACUGGGAAGUUUCCAAUGGAAAUGAGCUAGUUUCCUAUGAAUAUUAAUCCUUUACAAGGUAUGGAUGAUAAUUACCAUAAUCCACAAGGAUAUUCUUAGAAGAUAUUGCAUCUCCAGGGUGAAAAGGUCUCAGCGGUGACACUGAAUUCUAACAGUUAUCAUAUUUGAUUUACCAGUGAUCAUUAAGGUUUACAUCAAAGGUCAGGAAUAACUCUGCUAUUUGUAAGCUGAGAAAAAGGUAUAAACACUUUAAUUUAUUGCCCUGUCACUGUCAAUUCACUUGGUAUUCGCUGUGAUAGUGCUGCUGUUAAUGAAUGUAUUUGGUAAUAGUGUGGAUGUCAUAGAUAUUUAUGCUCUCAUGGCUUUCAGUGGCUCAGCAGGUAAGGCAAGUCAGGAGCUUUGCCAUUUCACAUUUAUAAAUUAAAGAGGAAAAAUAAAUAAUAUUUUAUCUCAAAGAAGGACUUAACAAAUAUCUAUCACAUUCAGCUAUACCAAAGAGAGGUCUAUCUUAUCACAGAAAAAUCAGUACUGCAAAGAAAGUGAUAAGUGUCUGGGAUUGCUGGAAGCCCAAGA